GCCCUUUUCGUCUAGUUGGUCAGGACAUUGCUCUUUCACAGCAAGAACACGGGUUCAAAUCCCGUAAUGGGUA
rnacentral:tRNA from 1 species